rnacentral:lncRNA from 1 species
AUUAUGGCACAUGUAUUUAUGCAUCCCUCUGCUGGGUACCUGAAUGUUUACUCGUUUAUGUUUCGGUGCAAGUUUUAGUACGGCCUUUGCCCGAUUUGAUAAUGUCCUCCUUCCUAUAUCAUUCAAGAUUGAACAGUAAUUUGCAUGGCCAUGGUGAUUUGGUCCACAAGGUGGAAGAUUAGAUGUUGGCGACAAAUCAAGAAAGGGCUUCUUUCCGGAUCUGAUGUAAGGCUGCUUCCAGCCCUCCUACUAAUCUCCUAUAUUCCAUAAAUGGAGAGCUACCAACGCUUUUGUGUCUAAUGACUCCUUUGGUUCAGUGGCUUGUGUCUCAUUACUCCUUAGUUUAGUAUACCAAUAUAUAUGCUGCAUUUUCUGUCUUCCAUGGUUCAGUAAAUGUUAGUUAUUAUAUUAAGAAAUAAGAGAUAAUUAGUUUAAUCAUUCUUAGAUCUAUGUAGGUUAGAGGUCUCUUGAUCGUACCGAUAGAACUAGGCUGUAAAACGUUGGAUGUAAGAUAAGUGGGUUCAUGUACUAGUUUUGGGAUUUAUAUUAGCUUCAAGAGAACAUUUUAGCUCAAAGAAGACCAAGCGGACAUUAUAGAUUGUACUGAGAUGAGAAGCAACUCAGGUCUGUAGGUGCAGAAUCAGGAAGAAUUAUAAUGGAUUUUCCCAUUUGAAUUGGCUUUCAAUGAGUUAUUGGCAGAUAUAACUUUUGUCUUCUAAUAUUUCAGUUCAUAAAACAUAUAGGGUAACUAGUAUUACUUCUAUAGUUCAGUCCACUUUUACUCCUACAACCACACGCUACGCCACCGCAACACACGCACACACCCAGGACGGGAUACAAAGGCGCUGAGCGCAGCAACACUACUCCUAGCACUACUGCCCCGAAGAUAUGAAGCUACAUAUGACGAACCAUGCGCUCCAAGGCGGCGCCUUCAGGAAGGAAACGACGCCGGAGCACCGCCACCGCCCGAUCCAAGGAUCAAAGUUUCCCUCGGAGCUGCAUGACGGGCAAUGAGAGCUGCGACGACGCCUUCAAGAAGGGAGCGAUCUUCGCCGCCGCCGGUCCGUCCGAAGAUAGAGCAGGUUUUCACCUCGGCCAACAUUCACCGCCACCGAACGCCACACCCCGGCAACCACGCCGCCCACACGGCCAUGAUGAGCGGGCAGCACCAAGGCACGGGCUUUGUCCAAGAGCACCGUGCCACCACCACCACCAGGGCCGCCGCCCCAGCAUCCAAGACCUCAACACCACCUCACCCAUGACCCGACGCACCCCAACGAAAGAGACGAGCAGAAAGGUCCUACCUUUCGCGCCCCUGGGCAACCCCCAGCAUCGAGAACUAAUAGGUCAGCCAGAACCGGCAUCCAUCGAGCCAUCCUGCUACCCUAAGCGCGAGAUGAGCUUGGUCCUGCAGCAUCGUGCACGAGACGCCCGAUCCUGAAUCCAUUAGUUUAGAAUCUAUUACAUUUCUCAUUUAGGAUUUCAUGGUCCAGUGUUAAUUUUCAUUGCUCCAAACCAAGCAUUUGCAGUUGCUUGUUUUAGAGAUCCAAGUUCUGUGUCAGAUUUCGGCCGGCAAGGUAAAUCCUUCCAGCUGACGAAUAUUAUGGACUUACAAUCUGUGCAGUCGUCUCAUAGUUAUUACGACCCUACUUUUUUAUCGAAUUUUACUCCAUUCAGCCUCUUGUAUGUCCUUCAGAAAUACGGCGAGCUUGUUUGGGAGGUCAGGUCCACUUAUAAGCAUUUGUGCAUUAAAGGUUGAUAUUCUAAAGAUGCUCGUGCUGCGAUACAAUGUUGGCUUGUAAUGUGCCUAAUCUAUAUUAAUUAAUUUACUGACGCUGACUAAUCAAUGACUUGCUAAACAACUUUUCAUGUAUAAAUAAAAGAAAAAAUUGGCUCACUUGUGCAUCGUCUUCUGGAUGUAAGUGUUUUCUCUUAUUAUUUUUCAUCUUCACCAUGAUAUGCUCAUUGGUUUUCUUGAGAUAUUUGUUCAAGGGAAUCUUUUCAAAGGAUUGUACAUUUUUGACAAUUUUUUCAAAGAAUGACACCUUUUGUGAUAAUUUUCUCAUGUGAUAUAGGUUGUCUACGACUGUACGUUACAUUUAUAUGUGCAGUGUCUCCCCUUUAAUUGAUUGGUUCAGUUAUUCAGCUCUGUUUUUUGUGUAUCCCUUGUGUUGGAUGAUUUUUUUCCAUCGCCUCUUUGUUCCUAUGUGAUUUAAAUAUGUUCAUAGUUGACAUUCACCAAAAAAUUGUAGAUGUCAGAGAUAAUGUGGGGGUCAAAGCACGGGCUAGCGAGAGCUUUAUCUACAACAGAACAGCUAUUGAAUGGUUGAACUUUCCUCCAUGAUAUUUCUUUAAUACGCCACCUCUCAAUUUUAUGAAAACAAGAGUUGACGUGAUUGUACAUUGACCACAUUUUAUUUCUAUAUCCUUGGCUCCUUGCACAUUGUUCGUAUAAAUUAUUAAAUUCCCAAGAAUCCAUUUUGUUCCGAAUAGCGAAUUCACAAUCUUUUUCUUGGUUGUCCCAUAGCGAUGCUACUACGAAUCAUAUCGUGUUGCAAUGUUUGCAAUUUGUAUUAAAGCAUCUGUCAGUUGAACUAACAAGGAUGCAGCCACAUUUGCAGGCAUAUACACUGAUGUAGAAGGAUGCAGAGAUGGGCACAACAAUGGAGCUAAUGCUUCUAUGAACAUGGUCAAUCCCUAAGAGCAAUUUUGUUACAACAGCUGGAUUCUGCUAAUACUGGAGGUGUCAACCUAAAUGCACAUAUAUGAAACUGAACGACAGUAGUCAAACACCAUUUUAUCUACAUUGUGUAAUUUUCCACAUAGAUUAAUUACAAUAUUUAUUCUAUGGACAUGAGGCCACGAUUUGUAUCAUUUGGUUACAGUUGUUAUGUUGUGUGAUUUUUCAGUGAUCAAUAUAAUGCUAUCUGCACAACUUAAA